UACGUAGGGUGCGAGCGUUGUCCGGAUUUAUUGGGCGUAAAGGGUGCGUAGGUGGCGCGUUAAGUCCGUUGUGAAAUCCCUGGGCUCAACCCAGGAAAUGCUUCGGAUACUGGCGUGCUUGAGGCUAGUAGGGGUCACUGGAACUGACGGUGGAGCGGUGAAAUGCGUAGAUAUCGUCAGGAACGCCAAUGGUGAAGACAGGUGACUGGGCUAGAUCUGACACUGAGGCACGAAAGCGUGGGGAGCGAACGGG
rnacentral:rRNA from 1 species